UGGGUGUGGAGAGAGCAGAGCCCCUGAAGAAUGGCUUUUCUGUGUACAACACAUCCAACAGCAACGGGGGAUGUCACAGGAAGGCCAUAGUAUUCUGCAUCCUCACGGUGGCAGAAUACUAUGGCCUUCCUGUGACAUUACGCCCUAUACAA
rnacentral:snoRNA from 1 species